AUUGAACGCUGGCGGCAGGCCUAACACAUGCAAGUCGAACGGUAACAGGAAGCAGCUUGCUGCUUUGCUGACGAGUGGCGGACGGGUGAGUAAUGUCUGGGAAACUGCCCGAUGGAGGGGGAUAACUACUGGAAACGGUAGCUAAUACCGCAUAACGUCGCAAGACCAAAGAUGGGGACCUUAGGGCCUCUUGCCAUCGGAUGUGCCCAGAUGGGAUUAGCUAGUAGGUGGGGUAACGGCUCACCUAGGCGACGAUCCCUAGCUGGUCUGAGAGGAUGACCAGCCACACUGGAACUGAGACACGGUCCAGACUCCUACGGGAGGCAGCAGUGGGGAAUAUUGCACAAUGGGCGCAAGCCUGAUGCAGCCAUGCCGCGUGUAUGAAGAAGGCCUUCGGGUUGUAAAGUACUUUCAGCGGGGAGGAAGGGAGUAAAGUUAAUACCUUUGCUCAUUGACGUUACCCGCAGAAGAAGCACCGGCUAACUCCGUG
rnacentral:rRNA from 1 species